rnacentral:rRNA from 1 species
GACGAACGCUGGCGGCGUGCCUAAUACAUGCAAGUCGAACGCAUUUUCUUUCACCGUAGCUUGCUACACCGAAAGAAAAUGAGUGGCGAACGGGUGAGUAACACGUGGGUAACCUGCCCAUCAGCGGGGGAUAACACUUGGAAACAGGUGCUAAUACCGCAUAAUUCCAUUUACCGCAUGGUAAAUGGAUGAAAGGCGCUUUUGCGUCACUGAUGGAUGGACCCGCGGUGCAUUAGCUAGUUGGUGGGGUAACGGCCUACCAAGGCUGCGAUGCAUAGCCGACCUGAGAGGGUGAUCGGCCACACUGGGACUGAGACACGGCCCAGACUCCUACGGGAGGCAGCAGUAGGGAAUCUUCGGCAAUGGACGCAAGUCUGACCGGGCAACGCCGCGUGAGUGAAGAAGGUUUUCGGAUCGUAAAACUCUGUUGUUAGAGAAGAACAAGGAUGAGAGUGGAAAGUUCAUCCCUUGACGGUAUCUAACCAGAAAGCCACGGCUAACUACGUG